rnacentral:rRNA from 1 species
GGUUCGCGGUCCGCGGAGGACAU